rnacentral:rRNA from 3 species
AUUCCCCCAGUAGCGGCGAGCGAACGGGGAGCAGCCCAGAGUCUGAAUCAGCUUGUGUGUUAGUGGAACGGUCUGGAAAGUCCGACGGUACAGGGUGAUAGUCCCGUACACCAAAAUGCACAGGCUGUGAACUCGAAGAGUAGGGCGGGACACGUGGUAUCCUGUCUGAAUAUGGGGGGACCAUCCUCCAAGGCUAAAUACUCCUGACUGACCGAUAGUGAACCAGUACCGUGAGGGAAAGGCGAAAAG